rnacentral:rRNA from 1 species
GAUGAACGCUGACAGAAUGCUUAACACAUGCAAGUCUUUGGCGAAGCUGUGCUCGCCCAGCCUAGCCAAGGCGGACGGGUGAGUAACGCGUAAGGAACUUGCCCUGCAGUCAGGGAUAACAGACGGAAACGACUGAUAAGACCUGGUAAAGUCAGGCGGACUCAUGUCCAGCCUGAUGAAAGGAGAUGCUGCAGGAGAGCCUUGCGUCCUAUUAGCUUGUUGGUGGGGUAACGGCCCACCAAGGCGAUGAUAGGUAGCCGGCCUGAGAGGGUGGACGGCCACAAGGGGACUGAGAUACGGCCCUUACUCCUACGGGAGGCAGCAGUGGGGAAUAUUGGACAAUGGGGGCAACCCUGAUCCAGCAAUUCUGCGUGCACGAUGAAGGUUUUCGGAGUGUAAAGUGCUUUCAGCAGGGAAGAAAAAAAUGACGGUACCUGCAGAAGAAGCGACGGCUAAAUACGUG